rnacentral:rRNA from 1 species
UACGGGGGGGGUAAGCGUUGUUCGGAAUUACUGGGCGUAAAGGGCUCGUAGGCGGCCAACUAAGUCAUACGUGAAAUCCCUCAGCUUAACUGGGGAACUGCGUGUGAUACUGGAUGGCUUGGAUUUGGGAGAGGGAUGCGGAAUUCCAGGUGUAGCGGUGAAAUGCGUAGAUAUCUGGAGGAACACCGGUGGCGAAGGCGGCAUCCUGGACCGGCAUUGACGCUGAGGCGCGAAAGCCAGGGGAGCAAACGGG